rnacentral:sRNA from 1 species
GAAAGUCCCUGACUGGAGUUGGCAGCCAAGCCAGGCCCUGGAGUGGGCACCCAGAGGGAAGACAGGGGAAGAACACCCACCCGCAAAGCCCCGUAGGGCUGGACCCUACGUUAGCCUGCCCUGCUCGGGGUUGGCGAUGCUGGAGGUGGGCCUUGGACCAGAGAAAAUGCUUUAAUUAGGUGACAAGCGGGCAGAGGCCUUUGUCUCUGGCGCCGGCAGCCAACGGCCCCCGCUGACGGCGUGGGAAACAGACCCUGUUCCACUCCGGUCUCCAGCCUUGGAAUGGUUGCCUUCGUGCAAUGCAGGAGGACGCGGCAGAGGGCGGACGAUCGCUCCACUCGCCGGGACCAGGUGCGGGGGCCCUGCCCAGCCGCUGGGGCGUGGCCAGGCUCGAAGCACCCAGGUGUCGGGGGCCGACUCUAAGCCCUGGCACCGGAAGAGAGAGGGCGGCGGAUUGCACCUCCCGGCUCCAGCAUUGCAACUGGGCGCUCCGUCUCCUGGUCCACGCAAUGAUGCCGCGGCUGCUCAGAAGCCAGCCAUCCGCCCGGCCCGGGAGGGCGGACGCCGCGAGACUCCCGGCCGCGCCCUCUCCUUCCUCUCCUCCCCAAGCCCUCGCUGCCAGUCCGGACAGGCUGCGCGAAGGGGAGGGC